rnacentral:rRNA from 1 species
UUGUCUCAAAGAUUAAGCCAUGCAUGUCUCAGUACAAGCCAAAUUAAGGUGAAACCGCGAAAGGCUCAUUAAAUCAGUUAUGGUUCCUUAGAUCGUACCCACAUUUACUUGGAUAACUGUGGUAAUUCUAGAGCUAAUACAUGCAAACAGAGCUCCGACCGGAGACGGAAGGAGCGCUUUUAUUAGAUCAAAACCAAUCGGUGGCGGUCUCCGUCAUCGUACAACUUGGUGACUCUGAAUAACUUUACGCUGAUCGCACGGUCUCGCACCGGCGACGCAUCUUUCAAAUGUCUGCCUUAUCAACUGUCGAUGGUAGGUUCUGCGCCUACCAUGGUUGUAACGGGUAACGGGGAAUCAGGGUUCGAUUCCGGAGAGGGAGCCUGAGAAACGGCUACCACAUCCAAGGAAGGCAGCAGGCGCGCAAAUUACCCACUCCCGGCACGGGGAGGUAGUGACGAAAAAUAACGAUACGGGACUCAUCCGAGGCCCCGUAAUCGGAAUGAGUACACUCUAAACCCUUUAACGAGGAUCAAUUGGAGGGCAAGUCUGGUGCCAGCAGCCGCGGUAAUUCCAGCUCCAAUAGCGUAUAUUAAAGUUGUUGCGGUUAAAAAGCUCGUAGUCGAAUCUGUGUCCCGCGCCGCCGGUUCAUCGUUCGCGGUGUUAACUGGCGUGCCGCGGGACGUCCUGCCGGUGGGCUUAGCUCGAAAGGGCGGCCCAACUCAAUCCCGCCGCGGUGCUCUUCAUUGAGUGUCGAGGUGGGCCGGCACGUUUACUUUGAACAAAUUAGAGUGCUUAAAGCAGGCUAAAACUUCGCCUGAAUACUGUGUGCAUGGAAUAAUGGAAUAGGACCUCGGUUCUAUUUUGUUGGUUUUCGGAACCCCGAGGUAAUGAUUAAUAGGAACGGAUGGGGGCAUUCGUAUUGCGACGUUAGAGGUGAAAUUCUUGGAUCGUCGC